CCCAGAGCCACUUUAUUUUGCCUACUCAUGGGGUAAGGCAGAUCUCGAAAAUAAUAUUUCCACUUAUCCUUCAUGCCCUAAGAAGUCUCUGGGCCAUGAGAACAGUAUUGUCCCAGUUUAUGUACGAGCACACAGAAGCAUGGAAAUUGAGGACAAUUUCUCCAAGUUUAGAUAAUCACUGACUACCCUAAGAUUGCCGCGGAAGUUCCAGAUUAUACAGCCUGGAGAGACAGAGAGUGGUCGGAAACCACAUGCGCCCCCUGGAAGGCACAGUUGUUUUGGCAACUUGAGCGCAAGCUAGUGGUGCACUAGCACGGCAUUUGGAG